rnacentral:rRNA from 1 species
UACCCGCAGCACAAGUGGUGGUCAUUAUUAUUGGGCCUAAAGCGUCCGUAGCUGGCCUGUUAGAUGCCUGGGUAAAUCGGUGCGCUCAACGCACCGAACUCCGGGUAGACCGGCAGGCUCGAGACCGGGAGAGGUGUAGGCUACUCGCGGGGUAGGGGUAAAAUCCUGUAAUCCUGCGGGGAGGACCAGUGGCGAAGGCGCUACACUAGAACGGCUCUGACAGUGAGGGACGAAGCCCUGGGGCGCAAACCGG